CCUACGGGAGGCAGCAGUAGGGAAUCUUGCGCAAUGGGCGAAAGCCUGACGCAGCCAUGCCGCGUGAAUGAUGAAGGUCUUAGGAUUGUAAAAUUCUUUCACCGGGGACGAUAAUGACGGUACCCGGAGAAGAAGCCCCGGCUAACUUCGUGCCAGCAGCCGCGGUAAUACGAAGGGGGCUAGCGUUGCUCGGAAUUACUGGGCGUAAAGGGAGCGUAGGCGGAUAGUUUAGUCAGAGGUGAAAGCCCAGGGCUCAACCUUGGAAUUGCCUUUGAUACUGGCUAUCUUGAGUACGGGAGAGGUGUGUGGAACUCCGAGUGUAGAGGUGAAAUUCGUAGAUAUUCGGAAGAACACCAGUGGCGAAGGCGACACACUGGCCCGUUACUGACGCUGAGGCUCGAAAGCGUGGGGAGCAAACAGGAUUAGAUACCCUGGUAGUCCACGCCGUAAACGAUGAGUGCUAGUUGUCGGUCGAUGCAUGCAUGUCGGUGGUACGCGAGCUAACGACAUUAAGACACUCCGCCGUCGGGAGGUACGGUCGGCGAGAAGUUAAACGUUAAAGGUAAAGUUAGUUACGGCGUGAGACGUGCCGACGGACGACGACGAGGGAGGAGG
rnacentral:rRNA from 1 species